GAAGCUUUUUGGCGGUUAAGGCGAUAGACUCGAAAUCUAUUGGGGUAACCCGCGUGAGUUCAAGUCUCACAGCU
rnacentral:tRNA from 1 species